UACGAACCGUACAAACGUUAUUCGGAAUCACUGGGCUUAAAGGGUGCGUAGGCGGCCAUGUAAGUGAGGUGUGAAAUCCCUCGGCUCAACCGAGGAACUGCGCUUCAUACCGCAUGGCUUGAGGGAGACAGGGGUAAGCGGAACUGAUGGUGGAGCGGUGAAAUGCGUUGAUAUCAUCAGGAACACCGGUGGCGAAAGCGGCUUACUGGGUCUCUUCUGACGCUGAGGUACGAAAGCUAGGGGAGCGAACGGG
rnacentral:rRNA from 1 species